AAUCUUUUCAUAACUACUUUGGCUCUCUGUUUAGCGGGUUUUCCAUUUCAAAUUUCGUAAAUUUUAUCGAAAAAAUCUCUGUAUUUUCGCUGUAUAUUUUCGCGAAUUUGCGAUCAAAUUCUGUUCGCAUUUGUUGUUGUUUUCAAUAGCGUGGAGUAGCGAUUCUCCGAUUGGUUAAUUGACGAUUGUUGUGAGAACUGCACAUUUCAUCAGUAAUUUUAAUCAAGUUAACCGUCGUUUCACUGUAGUAAUUUUAUAAAACAAUUACCAAAUGGUUUUCCCGUCCAGGAUAGCAUGAUCCAUGCACUUGGGAUGUUGCUCGACUUUCGGAAAGCGUAAAAAUACACUCGCCUACGGCUCGUGUAUUUUCACGCUUUCCGAAAGUCUCGCA